GAUGAAGAACGUAGCGAAAUGCGAUAAGUGAUGUGAAUUGCAGAAUUCAGUGAAUCAUCGAAUCUUUGAACGCACAUUGCGCCCCUUGGUAUUCCGAGGGGCAUGCCUGUUCGAGCGUCAUUAUAACCCCUCAAGCUCAGCUUGGUGUUGGGGCCUGCUGCACUGGCAGCCCUUAAAAUCAGUGGCGGCGCCAUCUGGCUCUAAGCGUAGUAAUUCUUCUCGCUAUGGAGUCCUGGUGGAUGCUUGCCAUCAACCCCCAAUUUUUCUAUGGUUGACCUCGGAUCAGGUAGGGAUACCCGCUGAACUUAAGCAUAUCAAUAAGCGGAGGA
rnacentral:misc_RNA from 1 species